CGGAAGGGGCGAGCGUUGUUCGGGAAUCAUUGGGCGUAAAGGGCGCGUAGGUGGUUCUGUAUGUCUACCGUCGGAAAGCGUACGGCUCAACCGUAUUUUGUUGGUAGAAACUGCAGGACUUGAGGCUGGGAGGGGCUGGUGGAAUUCCCUGUGUAGCGGUGAAAUGCGUAGAGAUGGGGGAGAACACUCGUGGCGAAGGCGGCCAGCUAGACCAGUUCUGACACUGAGGCGCGAUAGCGUGGGGAGCAAACAGGAUUAGAUACCCUGGUAGUCCACGCUGUAAACGAUGGGCACUAGGUGCCGGCGGUCUUGAUCCCGUCGGUGCCGGCGCUAACGCCAGUAAGUGCCCCGCCUGGGGAGUACGGUCGCAAGGCUG
rnacentral:rRNA from 1 species